GAGUUCUCUCACGCCUGCCGCGCACAGCUCAGCGAGCCAUGGGUGGGGGAUUACAUGUUUCAGCUAGUUUACUGCCGCCACCUCGCUCUGGAGGGCUGCUUCCGGGCUGGCUCAGCCCUGCCGCCACUUCCGGUCACAUGGGGCAGCUGCCGGACACCAGGAGACGAUGGAAGGUCUAUAGUGUUACAGCUCUGACCCAGGAAGUCCCAGGGUCUUGCCUUCCAGAAGGGUCGCGGCUCUUCCCUCCCUCAGUCCAACGAACAGGAGCACGUCACCUCCCGCAGCUCGGGGAGCUGGCCAGGAACGUGUUACAGCCCGUUUCGCUCCUGUCCGCAGCUGGGUGAGGCAGCCAGGAAAAUAUUACAGCUCUUCUCACGCCCGCCAUUCAGCAGGUCCUGACUUCUUGUGUGACAUCCAGAAGAAAGGGGUUACACAGACAGCUGGAGGGUGAGCAAAGUGGAGAAGUUCUCAGCAGAGAGGAGACUGGAGUGAGUUGCCCCUACCCGCAGGUGCCAACUGUAAUACAUCAGUAGCUGAACAGCUCAUUGCCCUCAAGUGUUCUUGCUCAUGCCUGGCUGAGUUAUUGAAGAAAUUGCUCAGAUCUCAAGCCCUUGUAGAUCACUGGUCCUGGCAGAUGUUGAAAGACAGCAUUCAAGGAACCACCUUGUACGCAGACACUGAAACCUCGCGAGACAACAAAACUGCUGACACCUUGAUCUUGGACUUCCCAGCCUCCAGAACUAUGUGAGACAUAGAACUAUUUCGAACUAUAAAGUAUACCUAUUCCUCAAGAACAAACCGAACACAAACCUGGGAGAAAAAAGAAAGACUGAAGUGGAACUAAAUAAUAUUGAAACCAACAAGCAAUACAAGAAACCAGCAAAGAGUACAUAGAACAAACAUUUUUUUUAGAAGGAUUAAAUGGGACAAUUAAACAAUUUGAUCAGCAUAAUGUCCAGCUCAAGGAUCUUGGAGGUGGUGAGGCAGCCCAAGUGGAAAGGCAGCAGAAGGGGUAUCCUUGUUUUACCAAUUACUCAUAUGUAGGAGAUGGUGCAUUAAAUGAAAUAUUCUCUGCUCUCUCCUAACAUCUACCCCCUCACACCAAGAGGAAGGCAUGUCGCCUGAACCUUUGCAGUAUUCAAUUAAAGUUCUAUUCACACGGUAUUGCAGUUGUUUGCUUAUCUUUCUUUCUUAUUAGACUUAAAACUUCUGGAAACUAGAGGCUAUAUUACUUAUUUGCCUCAGAGUCCUGUUGGCCUAUCAAAUGGCACACCUUCAAUCCAAGAAUGAAUUAAUUAAAUAAAUGUGAAGAAAAAAAAAAUCCAAGUUGCUUAUUUUUGUUAAAUUUAUUUUUCCCCAAAAUAUUUACUGAGAAAAUGACUCUGGGAAGAUAGCAGAGUGGAAAGCCCCAGAAAUGUGUUUCCCCACCUAGACAACAACUGUACUGGCAGAAUCUGUUUGAUGUGACUAUUCUGAAGUUCUGAAUUGAAUAAAUAUGAAGAAAAUACAAAGUGCAAGUCUUGUUACUUCCAAGGGAUGGCUUGCAUACAGGAAGGAGUGAAACGAUUGAUUAGCGAGAUCUACUGUGGACUCCUGAAUGAUGAACACAACAAGGAUGCCCUGCAUUCAUCAAGCUGUUAUUGGCCUAUCAGGUGCUAUGUAAUCUACGGUUUCCUAGGACUUGUGUGUUGAGGAAAAGAUGGUGGCAGAAUGAGAAUUACAGACCAAGGAAAAGCAAAAGUGUGAAGGCCUUGAGCGAGGAGGAGCAUGAAACUUCAGAAAUGAAAGCAAGUAAAGAGGGUUGGAGUGGAGAGAGAAAGGAGAGAAUGACAGCACACAAGGCUAAUUCUCUGCCUGGAAGACAGGCUAAGGAUUCUGGAUUGUUUCCCAAGAACAAGUGAACAGUUUUAAGAAACAAUAUGAUCCAUUUUUCCCCCUAUUUCAAAUAAAUCCGUUUGCAAUGUGCAGGAUGGUUUGGAGAAGACAGGCAAGACUUGAUGUCAGAAGACUAUUCAGGGGCUAAAGCUCUACUACCAUUUAUAAAUGAAGGGAGUUAUUCUCAUUUAAGUCUCUGAAAUUGAGAUGUACCUACUUAAAAAUUAAUAUUGUUAUCCCUUUUAUUUUUCUGUGGUCGUGAAACAAAUUUGCAAAGAUUAUGACAGUGAGAAGUAUAGUGUGGCUGAUUCUUUUUUACUUCUAUCCUCACAGGUUGUCUAUCCUUGCUCAUUCCUGAGUAUAGGCCAAGCUAACCAUAGGAGGAAUUUAUAGAGUAACUUUGAAGCAAGGAUGACAACAGUCUCUUCCUAAAACUAACCCCCUCCUUGAGGGACUGACAUCACCUUUGUAAAACUAAUUAAAACCACAUAAUUAGGAUUAUGGAGAGGGCUAAAUUCUGCUAAGAUGUAGGCAUAGUUUCUAUAAUCCCUUACUAGCCAUGAGUCAUGUGGCCUGAGGUCACAAGAUUUGUGACUUCACCAAUUGCUCCUAUAUAAAAAAUCACUAUUGUAGAACCUAAUAUUGACAUUUUAAUUUGUUUUUCAUACUUUUGCUUUCUGGUAAUUGACCCCACCUAGACCCAUGACUCAUGACUCAACUGGUCCUGUGGCCACCCCACCCAGAGGUGGACUAAGCACAAGAGGACCUUUUCUCACACCUCUGUGAGUUCAUACUAAACCAAUGAGCAGUACCCAUUCUCUAGGUCUCUGCUCACUAAAUUAUUAAAACUUUAGCCUCUGAGUUCUCGGGGAGGUAGAUUUGAACAAUAACCAAGUCUUAUGCUUACACUUGGUCAGCCUUGCAUUAAUUAAACUCUUUCUCUACUGCAAUAGUAUGGUCUCAGUGAAUUGGUUUUAUCUGUGCACCAGGCAGGAAAAAUCUGUUGGGCAAUUACAGAUCCCUAAUGAGUUUACCCUGAAUUUUCUGUUUAUUUUUCUGUGCUUCCAGAUAAGUCAUGAUUUCCUUAAAAAGCAUAUCGUUGAUGAGUGUAUACUUUUAUGUAAAUAAUAUUGUGUUAUCUCAUCUUGUGUUGUUGUACCUAACUGCUGUUUUCCUCUAUAUGAAUCAACCUUAUUUAUUCUGCUAAUUAUGGACUACCAACCCACUGAGCCCAAUCAUAAAAAGUACCUCAGUAACCAUAAUCAUUCAUACCCUUGAAAGGAGCUGUGUGAGAUUUUCUUUGCAGUAUAUAUCCAGAAUCAAAUUUCAGUUGCAUAGUCUGUUUGUGUAUCUCCUGACUGCCUACCAUGGCCUACUUUCCAUGAGAAAUGGAUGAGGGUUUUUAUAUUCUCACAGCUCACCGACACUUCAUAUUAUUUAGUUUUCUAAAUUUUAUAAUAUAUUUAAAUGAUAACUUUAAAUAGAAGUUGUAUAUUUUUCAAACAUACCUAAAAAUACAAAGACUAAAACUGGCCUCCUGCAGUAAAUAGUUACUUAUGCUUGCUUUAUUUAAAUUUUUAAAAUUAUUAUACUAAAAUGUUUAAUUCAAAUCUCGGAGUACUAGUUUUUCAUUGCUGGUGUGAAAUAUUACCACAAAUUUAGAGGCUUAAACUAGCAAAGAUUUAUUACCUUAUAAUUCUGGAGGUCAGAAGUCCAAAAUGAGUCUCCCACAGAUAAAAUCAGGGUGUUGACAGGGCUAUAUAAUAUCACCCUGACACUGCAUGUUUACCUCUUUUACAUUUAAAGGACCUUGUGAUUACAUUGGGCCCACCCAAAUAACCCAGAAUAAUCUUUUUAUUUUAAAGUGACCUUAUUAGCAACCUUAAUUUCACAUGUAGCCUUAAUUAUCCUUUUUCAUUGUAGCGCAACAUAUUCACAGUUGAGAAAGGGACUUUUAGGAUACAGACAACUUUGGAGGGCCAUUAUUCUGCCUGCCACAGAGAUAUCAUCCAUAAGUGACUCGUCUCUAAAAAUUAAAG
rnacentral:lncRNA from 1 species